UGCCAGCAGCCGCGGUAAUACGUAGGGGGCAAGCGUUAUCCGGAUUUACUGGGUGUAAAGGGAGCGUAGACGGAAUGGCGAGUCUGAUGUGAAAACCCGGGGCUCAACCCCGGGACUGCAUUGGAAACUGUUGUUCUAGAGUGUCGGAGGGGUAAGUGGAAUUCCUAGUGUAGCGGUGAAAUGCGUAGAUAUUUGGAGGAACACCAGUGGCGAAGGCGGCUCACUGGCUCGAUACUGACGCUGAGGUACGAAAGUGUGGGGAGCAAACAGGAUUAGAUA
rnacentral:rRNA from 1 species